AUAAGACUCUGGAAACUACGUCGUAUUAAAUAUUGCGUUCAGAACAUUGACAAACAUCCUUGCGUUUCGAAUUUUACCUUUCGAAAAACCAGAGCCUCAAGCGAUCUCCCCGUACAGCCUGCAAUGAGUGAAAUCAGGAGACGAACAUCCUUGCAUUCUCUACUGUUAUUCUUCUCCAUUUCUAUACAAUACCUCUCCGCCUUGGCCAAUGACACUUCAAAUUCAAAACAGGGGAACCAAGCUGAAAGUCAUGCUACUUCCGGUAGCAAAACUGGGGCCAAGGUACUAAUUGUCUUACUUGCAGUUGUGGCAGUGGGUUUGUUUUCUUUUUUCCUUUUCAAGCUAUGGCAAAAGAAGAAAAGAGAAGAGCAAUAUGCUCGUCUUUUGAAGUUGUUUGAGGAGGAUGAUGAGCUUGAGGUUGAACUUGGCCUCCGGGACUGACACAUUUUACUUGUAGAAACCAAUUUCCUUUUAUUUCAGGCUUAAGUGUCAUGUGAUAUUCGGAAAACUUGGUCCAUUGGUGGCCCUGAUUGGGAUAUGGAGAUAUCCUGUGGUGAGAUUAAGUAUUGUGCUUUUUUAGUAUCUAUGAUGAUUAUAUUCAAACGACAAAUAUUAAUGAAUUUAAUUGCUUUGUUGUUAGAGAAAGGAAGAACACCAUUAUGAGAUUUUUUUGGGGGUGGUCACAUUUUGUAAAAAUAAACUCAAUAUUCAUUUACAUGUGUAAAAGUAUUUAAUAUUUAGAUAUAUUGAAAAAGUGUAAAACUGAAGGGUUAUGUCGGUGUGCCUUGCAGCUGCUUAAAAGGCAUAUGCAAUGCCCAUUAUUUGUUUGCUUCAAUAAAAAAUGAAAUAUAACUCUUGUUAAAAAAA